CAUAGUCCACUUACACAUGUGAUGGAAAAUCUGUAGAGCCAACUCUCAGGCUUUUACCUGUUUGUUACAUGAAGAUGAAUCUUAAAAGAGUAGAGAAAUAAAAUUUCAAUUUGAAAGAGACAAAGUUUGAAAAGAAAUAUUUGCCCAAAGGAAGUUAGUAAUGACUUGCAAAGAAAAGUGCUCGUCUAUCCUGACCUUUGGUUGGACCUCUAGAUGACCUUGCAGCCACCUUCAAGUUCAGUGUAUGUAUUAGCUUCAAGAUUAUUUCUGGAACACCUAAAAUAUGUGAGACAUUAUUUGAAGCACUUUUGAUACCAAGAUGAAUGUGACAGAGUCUUAAACUCAUGGAUAUAGAAGAGACAAUAAUCAAGAAAGUAUUUUAAAUCACGUUUGGAAUGUGGCAAAAAAAGGAAGGAAAAAGGAUAAAAAAGAAGUGCGAGAAGAAAAUAAGAAAUAUAGUUACUUAUUUCAUAACAAACUGAGAAUAAAUUUCAUACAAAUGUUUGGGCUGUCUGUCAAAUACAACCAUGCAGAGGCAAGAAACUAGAUGAUGUGUACAAAAGUUAUGUGAUGGGAGAAAUAGAAAUAGUGGAUAGAAACACUCCUACAACAAUCCAGUUAACAGAGGUUUCAGAUUAAGUUUUUUUUCUUUUUUAAGAUUUUAUUUAUUUAUUUGAGACAGUAAGUGGGUGUGUAGGAGAGAGUACAAACAGUGGGGAGGGGCGGGAGCAGUGGGGUUAGAAGCCAACUCCCCACUGAGUGGGGAGCCAGCCCAUCAGCAGCCAAUCCCAGGACCUAUGAGAUCAUGACCUGAACCAAAGGCAGACACUUACCUGACUGAGCCACCCCGCACUUCCUCAGAUAAGUUCUUUAAUACUGACAUAUAUCAGGGUAAAUUUAUCCUAUGUAGAAUUAGGUAACAA